UUUAUGGAGAGUUUGAUCCUGGCUCAGAGUGAACGCUGGCGGCGUGCCUAAUACAUGCAAGUCGAACGAUGAAGCUUCUAGCUUGCUAGAGUGCUGAUUAGUGGCGCACGGGUGAGUAACGCAUAGGUCAUGUGCCUCUUAGUUUGGGAUAGCCAUUGGAAACGAUGAUUAAUACCAGAUACUCCCUACGGGGGAAAGAUUUAUCGCUAAGAGAUCAGCCUAUGUCCUAUCAGCUUGUUGGUAAGGUAAUGGCUUACCAAGGCUAUGACGGGUAUCCGGCCUGAGAGGGUGAACGGACACACUGGAACUGAGACACGGUUCAGACUCCUACGGGAGGCAGCAGUAGGGAAUAUUGCUCAAUGGGGGAAACCCUGAAGCAGCAACGCCGCGUGGAGGAUGAAGGUUUUAGGAUUGUAAACUCCUUUUGUUAGAGAAGAUAAUGACGGUAUCUAACGAAUAAGCACCGGCUAACUCCGUGCCAGCAGCCGCGGUAAUACGGAGGGUGCAAGCGUUACUCGGAAUCACUGGGCGUAAAGAGCGCGUAGGCGGGAUAGUCAGUCAGGUGUGAAAUCCUAUGGCUUAACCAUAGAACUGCAUUUGAAACUACUAUUCUAGAGUGUGGGAGAGGUAGGUGGAAUUCUUGGUGUAGGGGUAAAAUCCGUAGAGAUCAAGAGGAAUACUCAUUGCGAAGGCGACCUGCUGGAACAUUACUGACGCUGAUUGCGCGAAAGCGUGGGGAGCAAACAGGAUUAGAUACCCUGGUAGUCCACGCCCUAAACGAUGGAUGCUAGUUGUUGGAGGGCUUAGUCUUUCCAGUAAUGCAGCUAACGCAUUAAGCAUCCCGCCUGGGGAGUACGGUCGCAAGAUUAAAACUCAAAGGAAUAGACGGGGACCCGCACAAGCGGUGGAGCAUGUGGUUUAAUUCGAAGAUACACGAAGAACCUUACCUAGGCUUGACAUUGAGAGAAUCCGCUAGAAAUAGUGGAGUGUCUGGCUUGCCAGACCUUGAAAACAGGUGCUGCACGGCUGUCGUCAGCUCGUGUCGUGAGAUGUUGGGUUAAGUCCCGCAACGAGCGCAACCCCCUUUCUUAGUUGCUAACAGGUCAUGCUGAGAACUCUAAGGAUACUGCCUCCGUAAGGAGGAGGAAGGUGGGGACGACGUCAAGUCAUCAUGGCCCUUACGCCUAGGGCUACACACGUGCUACAAUGGGGUGCACAAAGAGAAGCAAUACUGCGAAGUGGAGCCAAUCUUCAAAACGCCUCUCAGUUCGGAUUGCAGGCUGCAACUCGCCUGCAUGAAGCUGGAAUCGCUAGUAAUCGCAAAUCAGCCAUGUUGCGGUGAAUACGUUCCCGGGUCUUGUACUCACCGCCCGUCACACCAUGGGAGUUGUGUUUGCCUUAAGUCAGGAUGCUAAAUUAGCUACUGCCCACGGCACACACAGCGACUGGGGUGAAGUCGUAACAAGGUAACCGUAGGUGAACCUGCGGUUGGAUCACCUCCUUUCUAGA
rnacentral:rRNA from 1 species